GCUUGUGUGGCGGAAUUGGUAGACGCACUGGACUCAAAAUCCAGCGGUAUAAAAGCCAUGUGGGUCCGAGUCCCACCACAAGCA
rnacentral:tRNA from 1 species